rnacentral:rRNA from 1 species
CAGUCGCCACGGUAAUACGGAGGGCGCGAGCGUUACCCGGAUUUACUGGGCGUAAAGGGCGUGUAGGCGGCCUGGGGCGUCCCAUGUGAAAGGCCACGGCUCAACCGUGGAGGAGCGUGGGAUACGCUCAGGCUAGAGGGUGGGAGAGGGUGGUGGAAUUCCCGGAGUGGCGGUGAAAUGCGCAGAUACCGGGAGGAACGCCGAUGGCGAAGGCAGCCACCUGGUCCACUUCUGACGCUGAGGCGCGAAAGCGUGGGGAGCAAACCGGAUUAGAUACCCCUGUAGUCCCUGUCUCUUAUAA